AGUCACUGACAUUAGAUACCCCUGUAGUCCAGGGUGUAAACGCUGCAGACUUGGUGUUGGAAGUCCUUUGGGGGCAUUCAGUGCCGGAGAGAAGUUGUUAAGUCUGCUACUUGGGGAGUACGUCCGCAAGGAUGAAACUUAAAGGAAUUGGCGGGGGAGCACCGCAACGGGAGGAGCGUGCGGUUUAAUUGGAUUCAACACCGUAAACUCACCAGGAUGACUGUUACAUGAAAGCCGAGAUGAAGACUCUGCUAGAUUUUCAG
rnacentral:rRNA from 1 species